rnacentral:siRNA from 1 species
CAACACAGAUGGGAAGUGGGCAU